GAACGCGAAGAACCUUACCAUCCCUUGACAUGGCAUGUUACCUCGAGAGAUCGGGGAUCCUCUUCGGAGGCGUGCACACAGGUGCUGCAUGGCUGUCGUCAGCUCGUGUCGUGAGAUGUUGGGUUAAGUCCCGCAACGAGCGCAACCCACGUCCUUAGUUGCCAUCAUUCAGUUGGGCACUCUAGGGAGACUGCCGGUGAUAAGCCGCGAGGAAGGUGUGGAUGACGUCAAGUCCUCAUGGCCCUUACGGGAUGGGCUACACACGUGCUACAAUGGCGGUGAUAGUGGGACGCGAAGCCGCGAGGUGGAGCAAAUCCCCAAAAACCGUCUCAGUUCGGAUUGCACUCUGCAACUCGGGUGCAUGAAGGCGGAAUCGCUAGUAAUCGUGGAUCAGCACGCCACGGUGAAUACGUUCCCGGGUCUUGUACACACC
rnacentral:rRNA from 1 species